UUGCUCAUUCAACAAAUAUUUAUUGAAUGUGUGCUUGAGCCAAGCUUUCUUCUAGGUGCUGGGAAUGCACCAACAAAGGACAUGAUUGCAUUCAAGCAGGAGAGAUGGGCAACAUGCAGGUUGAUAUCUAAUAUUUUGUUGAAGAGAAACAGCCCAGUAGGGAGACUGGACACAGACGGGCAGGUGGCAAGGGGUCCAUUGGUGUAAGAUGCACAGAAGCUACAGUUACAGUGGCAUUUGCAAGAAGGAAGAAGGUAAGUAAGGAAACUCUGUGAGAAGAAAGUGUCUCAAGACAGGAAGCAGCAAAGGCAGAGCUCCUGAAGAGUCACACUGGGAGAGCAGCAAGUAGCCGGCAUGGCAAGCACAGACUUAGAAGGGAGAGCAGAGAAAUAGUAGAGGGAGGCCAGGCGUGGAGUCUGAUGGGUUUUACUCUGAAGAAUGUCACAGUCACUAAAUGUUGGCCCAGGGGAGGUGUCCUAACUCUGUAAGGCUCCUAAGAGGAGGCAGCUCCAAAUGUGGGGACCUGGGUUAGAUAUUAGUCAACAACAGAGAGCCCCAUGAGGUGGAGAAAAGAAAGGGGGAAGACGUGGGUCUUUCUAUAUAGUAAUUUAGCACCCACCAUUCCUGAGCUGCAAUAUACCCAGAGAAGCCUAUGACUAAAAUUUCUGCCUCUCUUGUCUUGUCUCGUCCUUAGAGGAGGGAUUGGAUUUAACCCCAAUGUGAAAUAGCUGAGGAUGGAGAAAGGAUAAUGAGGAAGAAUGUCACCAAGAACUAGCUCUACAAGUUGAUGUUUGUGUUAUUUUUGGUUUUUCUUGGUUGGUUGGUUGGGUGAGUGGGUGGGUGGGUUUUGGUUGCUUUUUAAGACAGUCUCACUUUGUAGUCCAGGCUAGCCCAAAACUCACAGUGAUCCCCCUGACUCUACAUCUUACCAUCUUUCUAUCCCUCCAGCAACAUUUUACAGCUUUUGUCAACACUAUUGUCCCUCAUCCACUACUGAUUCCAUCCAAUGGAGAGAAGAGAGACCCUAUCCUGCUAGCCAGAGACCCCUAAGCAACAAUCAGGAGGUGAUACCUUCCUCCCUGAAGAAGUUACUUGGGGAUCUAUGUUUAGUAAACAGAGACAAGUAGCUAAUCAUAAAAGGCUCUGCCUCUCCCCAAUGUAUCCUCUAAAGCCAAGAAUGGUGGCAGCAAGAACCCCAUGUCCUCUAAGAGCCAAGUCAGACUUCCAUUCAGAGAGCUCAGUCCUAAAGCAAAUUGAAAGCCCUCAGCAAGAAAUUGUUCCUGAGCUGGAAGCUAGAGAGGCACACUGUGUUCUCUUACCCCCUCAGAAGUGACAUGCCCCUUCCUUUUCCAAUGUCCCCUUUCUGCCUGGAACAUGAGGAGGACCACAGUUGGCCCUCCCCCCAGCUAGAGCUGGUGACUCAGAGGCCACCUGCAUCCAUUUUCCAGCUCUGCCUGUGGCACAUCCUCUGCCCUUGCCUCCAAGCCACCAGCGAGCGGUGCCCUCUGCCUGGGCUACAUCUGAACACUGAAGCAUUCUUCUGGGAUUCGUCACUUUCUGAGAGGGAUUACAUAAAGAGGAGCUGUUUCCAGGACAGAGCAAGGACUAGCCAGUGGAAUUUAGAACAAUCCUCGGAAAAGCCAGUCCCCUAGAGAAGGGAAAAUUCCCCUGCUCUAGCAGACUCAUCGUUUGCGAGCAACCCUGAGGUUGGAGGGACCCUCAGAUGAGAAGGGUAGCAGAGAAUCCCAACCCCUGAGCCAUGUGCUCUGAAGUUUGCAGGGCCUGGACACUAGAGCCAGCUUGUGGGAAUGGGAUGAGAAGGCUCUCACUGUCCUGCCUCUUCUCAGUGAGCAUACCUUCCAGCCUGCAGCUCUUUGGUACCAACCUCAUGUUCCCCCAUUGUCCCAUCUGCAGAGAUGCUCAGAUGCUUCCUGAGUAUCUACAAGAGCAGCCAAAGCUGAGCUCUGAACGCUUGGUCCCACCCUUCAAAGCUUCCCUGCUUGCUACCUCCAUCAAAUGGCUCCUGGUUAGAGCAGUCUGGGAGUCAGGCAUGAAGUCCCCUGACCAUUAAACUGGACUUCCUGCACUUCACUCAGCAGCAUCUCCAGUGACAUGAGCCCAAGCCAUCAUCCACUUCCCCUUAAGCCCCUUUUGUUGAAACUUCCUGACCCUGUUCACCUUCACCUCACUUCAUCUUACUCUUCCACCAGCUGUUCUUCAGCUGGUCUUUCUGUAACAUAUUUUCUUUGCUCCCCUGGGAGAUUUUUCUUUUUUAAAGAUGGUGUUUCACUAUGUAGCUCAGGUUAACCACAAAUUCAAUGUAGCCAAGGAUGACUUUGAACUCCUGAUUCUCUUGCCUCCACCACCUAAGCCCUGGGAUUUUCGGUGUGUAUCACCUGGCCUUAACAUUUCCUUUUUUUCCCCUGUGUGUCUGUGUGUAUGUUGUUGCUCCUCUAGCUCAUCCCUCAGAUCUCAACCUCAGAAAGCUGGUGCUGACACCCUCCCUAACUUCUUGCUCUCUUUUGCUAUCCUGUUUAUUUACUAUAUAGCAUUUGGCCAGCUUGUGUUGAGCACACUUUAAUAAUAAUUAUAAGCUUGUGUGUUUCUUGUCAAUCUCCCUACUAUUGCUUCUUAUGGGUAUAGAUUGGAGGUAGGCACAUCAGAGAGCUCUGGGAGACAGAAAUGGAGCUCAGUGGAGACAAGACUCAAUGAGAGAAGAAACCAUUUCUCACACCAUGUUUCUAUGGUCCAUCUCAAAUCAUGACCUAGGACCUCCUAGAUGGAUGGAGGAUGGAUGAAUGGGUGAUAUAUAUGUAAUACAUGAAUGGUCGGUGGAUAGAGGGAUGAUGGCCUGAUAGGAGAAUUCUAGAUUUUAGCAUAAAGUAACAGAAAUCCUGUUUAAGACAUUGGGAGUAGUUAAGAAAGACUCUGUAGCUACAGAAAGACCCAUUCCUGGGUUGGAGACCCAUUUCAUAAAUUCGGACAAUGUCAUUCCAAAUCCUGGACGAGAAAACUCAUCCAUGAGUACACUCAGGAAAUACCUUCCUGAAGAAUGAGAUGGAAAAUGAAAACCAAAUGGCUGAGGAAUGCUGCCUGCUUUUCUCAUUCUUCGCUGGGGGCAGAGCUGCUUGGACUCAACUGAAUCACGGGUUGAUGAGCUGAAGCAGGAUGACCGACAAUACUCUGGGACAUGUUUACAUGACAGAACUUGGUUUUGCAAUAUCAGCAUCAUUCCUUGGAACAUCAGGGACAAAUUCCAGAGGAGAAGGCUUUCUAUCUAUGGACUCCCAGUGACUCAUGCAACCAACACAAGGGACACAAAUGGCUAUUGGUCACAGCUCAAUGGAUCAGGCAACUCAGACUAUGCCAAAUGUUAUCAGAAUGAGCUCACAUAGAAACUUCAAGAAUACUCAGUGAGAGGCAGAAGAUAGUGGCUGCCUCAUCUGCACACUACCACAUUCCUUUAUCCUGCCUAACCUAUGUGGUGAGAGAAAUGACUUACUAUGAUGUUUGGGAAAUCAAACCCAACCCCAACACUACCAAAGAAGAACUAAAAAAGACUACAAGCCAAAUGUUGUCUCUGAUACCAAGAGAAUUGUGUAACAAAGGAGGCAAACAGGUAAUUUAGGAGGAGAGAAGGUGAUACUGGGGUUCUCUUGUAGACAUCUUUGAUGUUUUCUGGAGGAGACAGAGGGAGGAUGCAGAGACAAAAGAGAAGUAAACAUGUUGCGUGUGAACUACAAUAACCUUGGACUUACACAAGGAUGCAACAAGACUGGCUUUGCAAAAGAAUGUGCUUUGUGACAAAUGUGAAAACCGUCAUGGUAAAAAAGGAGCUAUGGCAUACUGGCCCAACUGCAGAGAUAGUGGGAUCCAAAUUUGGAUUCUCAGAAAGGAUGGGGAAUGGUUCCAGAAAUUCAGUCUGUGUGCAUGGAGUACCAGAGCUAUGGAGACUUUCCACCCCACUUAAAGACAGAUGUAAAGGCUGCAAUAGAAAGGAGACUGGGAGAAGAUUCUAGAAGACUGUGUUGACUGGGAAUUUUUGUCAACUUAAUACAAGCUAGACUCAUCUGAGAAGAGAUAAUCUCAAUUGAGAAAAUGCCACCAUCAGACUGGCCUGCAUAUAGGCCUGAAGGGAAUUUUCUUGGUUGAUGACUGAUAUGGAAGGGCCCAGCACACUAUGAGCAGUGCCAUCCCUGGGCACUGGGGUGUAUAAGAAACCAACUAAGCAAGCCUGAAGGAGCAAGCCAACAGGGCCUUUCCAUGAACAUGAAAUCCACAGAUUCUGCUAACCUGACUUAAGGAUUCACCUCUCUCCACCUCCCCUAUGCUGGGAUCACAAGACAUAAGCCACUGCCCCCAGCUGUAAAAAAAUGGGUGCCGGGGAGCUGAACUCAGGACUUCGUGCUUGUGGGACAAGCAUUUACCCAGUCUCCAGCCUCAAGAGCUGGAAUUUCCACAUUACUUUCCUUGGCUGCAAUAACUUGCUGGCUGUGUGGCCUUGAGUUAAACACUCAUCCUCUCUGGGCCAUAGUGCCCUCCGAAAACAAGGGACUAAUAAGGGCUUCCUUGCUGUCAUCAGGACUUAACUGAGUAUGCCUGGGAAAGAGCUUUGUAAAUAGUGUCAUUGUCUCCUUCCCUCCAGAGCUCUCAGGGUAGAGCCUGCAGCCUCAGUUGGAACUCAGUCAGGAAUCAACCCCCGUUGAUGAGAAAAACACCACCAGAAGUCACAAAAAAACAAAACAGUUUUCUUGCCAGAAGACAGAAGGGGAGAACGGCUGUUCCGAUGGCCGUGAACCUUCACCAAGUUCAGGUUCAGAGUGAAGUCUACCCCAAUACUAUUUGUUCACACCAUUUAUUCUCAAAACUAUUAUUUGACAGCAGAAGUCAUUUCCUCCAGACACUAUCAAGAGGGCCCCUGGCUAUCAUCUGCAUUCCUUUAGUCAAGAUUUCUUCUUCUGGAGCAGACAAUUCUAGGCAAAGUUGAGCCGACCUGCUUCUAUGGAUAUGACACCUGAAAGGCCAAGGCCAGAGAAGGUUCACUGGAAGCCUGAAGAGGGAGGCAGCAGGCCAGUACUAAGAAAGCACAAAGGCCUGAAGACAGAGACAUUUAUUUCUGGCCCCAACUCAAAGCCAAGACCUUGGACGAGUCCUCUGUCCUCUAGGCAGAGGAGUGGCUUGUUUUCCCAUCUACAACACACAGGCUUCCUGGAUCCUCUCCCAAGGCCUUGCUAACUCUUCCUCAUGCUAUUCUGGGAGAGGUACAGCGUUGACAUGAUAGUUGUGAUUUAUCUGAGAGAGUUUUCAGAGAAAGGAAUCCAACAAGAACCUAGAGACUACAGACUAGGACAAAUGGGAAUAUUAGAAGCCCUGGCCAAAAGGGCAGAGAGACAGAGCUAGAGUGAUUGGUUUAUAGGGCAAAGUGAGGAAGAUGGGUCUGGGAUUCAGAUACAAGACACACCAAGAAGCGAAGGGAAGAGAAGUUGUCUGAACCCAGGCUCAGCAAGCCAGUGUCUCCCCUGAUGCAUACAAUCUAGGAGCAAAAUACAGAAGCCUGUUGUCUCCAAGCAAAGGGAAGGGAAUUAGUAAGGCUGUAACAGGGGCCAUUGUAUUGAUGGAUUGAUUGAUGGAUCAAUUGAUUGAUGAUUGAUUUGGGGGGGUGUGCAUGUUCACAUGUAUGCAAGUACCUGUGGAGGCUGGUGGGUGAUAUUGAGUUACCUUCCUCAGGCCCUCAAUUGCUUCCCAUCUUUUUUUGAGACAGACUGUAUUAUUUGCUUUUCUGGUGCUGUGAUAACCAAAAGCAACUAAGAGGAGGAAAGGGUCUAGUUUAGCUCCCAGUUACAGAGAGACAGAAUCUCAUAGCAGAAAAGGCAUGGCAAAUGUAUCAGGAAGCCGGCUGAUCACAUUUUCAUCUACACAAAAGGAAGUGGGGUAAGACAAUAAAUUUAUCAAGCCCUGCCCCCCAGGGACAUACUUCCUCCAACAAGGUACCACCUCAAAAAGAUUCCAUAAUCUCCCCAAACAGCACCACCAACUGGGGACCAAGUUUUCAAAUAAAUGAGACUAUAUGGGACAUUUCUCCUUUAAACCAUCACAUAGGCUGUCUCACUGAACCUAGAGCUCACUGAUCCAGCUAGUCUGGCUAGUUAGCAAGUCUCAGUACUGGCAUUACAGAUGAACACCACUAUGCUGGGCUUUUUCCAUGGAUGCCAGGGAUUCAAGCCCAGGUCCUCAUGUUUGUACACCAAGCACUUUACUGAGUGAAGCAUCUUCCCAGCCCAAAGGGCCAUUUUUGAUUCUUGGCUGGGAUGGUAUGGCAAAAGGUGUGUAAGGGGUAUGUUUCAUCCUGAGUCUAGAGGUUUGAAAAAGUAGACUAGACAGAAGAGGGACCAUUAAAUACAUUUCAGAGGUUUGGAAAGGAUUAAGAGCGCCCAAAGUUCUGAAAAUCAUGUUUCUCACGUUUCCACAUCUCUAAGAUGAAGCCUGGGCCUCUAAAGAUCUUUCUCUCGCCCAUGAGCAAAACCAAGGAUCAUUUCACCCUCCCAGCACCCAAGUCCUCCCACCUUUCAGGAGUAGUCAAGACUCCCAGCUUGGUUCCAUACUCAAGCCUCAGGGAGGAGCUGUCUCUGAGAGCCUGGGAGCCCACAGGUGAGGCCCAGCAGGAGGAGAAAAGAGACCUCCUGCUGUUAGCUCUCAGAGUCUUGGGCUGACUUCCCAAGCUGGCUUCCUGUACUUUGCUGCAGUUCUAACAUGUAGCCCCAAAAGACAGACAGAAGAAAGCUCAUUUUGGGGUUUCUCCUUAAUCCAGGAAUGAUGCCCACCAUGUCAUUGGGUCCAUUUGUUACCAGAAUUGUUGGGGUCGAGCCUGGACUGGCUACCCUAACAAGCUAGGAUCAACUAUCUGUCCUCAACAGGCCAAUUGUACAGACAAAUAGCAUUGAAAAGCAGAGGAGGGAAACACAUUUGACAAAACUGCAAUUGGGAAGAUAGGUGAUAAGGCGGCUCAGUGACCAACCUUGUCCAUCAUCAGAGUUUUAAUAAAUGGCUAUGGAUAUUGUAACUAAGGAAUCCAGGCUAUCCUGCUGACAAGAAGUCACCCUCUGGUGACAUCUUUUCCUGGCUGGCACCAGAAGUCAGCCUUUCCUUUCUCCAGCAUGAGAUUCCUGGGGAAAUUCCAAUUCCUGAAGUCCAUUGUUAAAGUAGUAUGAUAGCCAAAGCAAGAGGCACACACCUGUAAUCUCAGUACUUAGCAGAUAGAGAAAGGGAACUCCAAAGUUCAAGGUUAUCCUCAGCUACAGAGCAAGUUUGAGGCCAGCCUGGGCCACUUAAGACAACAUAACAAAGUAAAUAUGAGCUGGCUUACCUCAUUUUGAUCUUAAAGAAUUACCUUCUGUGAAUGACACUGGCAGGCAGUUUUAUCAAGAGCCAUGUUUAGACUUAGGGAUGAGCAAGCAAAGCUAGUACUGUAAAACUCACCCUGGCCCUCAGUCAGCACAGCUCGUUUGUUAUCUGUAACAUCCUUGUUUGACAGCCCUCUAGGAAAACAUGAAUCUUGCAGGGACUCUUGGCUGCAUUAUUUGUGUUGAAGUUUCUCAACCCUCUGGCACCACAGGAAAGGCAAAUCAGAAGUCCCAGUGAAGACUCUCAUGCCCCCUUAGUUUCUUGCCUUCCUAUCCUGCCACCAUUGAACAGGAACUUCCUUCCACAAUCCCAUCUCCUAGAUGGCGGCUAUUCUCCAGGUCCCCUCUUUUUAUUCUUUACGUCUGCUUGUGGUAAAAUGCAUACAUACAGCAUGGCAUUUAUCAUUGUAGAGCUGGUGAGAUGGUUCCUCAAGUAAAGACUCCAGCCGCCAAGCCUGAUGGCUGAGUUCAAUCCCAGGGCCCAUAUGAUGGAAGGAGACUAUCGCCUCCAUAAAGUGGUCCCCUGAAGGACACCACAACUGCAUAAGCAUAUCCCAACACACAGGCAAACAAUAAAUAAUAAACAAUGGAGGUUUGUUGGUUUUGUUUUUUAAGGCACAUCCUAGGAUAGUUAAGGGUACAACAGAGAAACCCUGUCUCAAAAAGAAGUAAAACAACAACAACAAAACUACUGUAGCCAUUUUUUUAAUUUUUAUUGAUUUUUUUGUGAAUUUCACAUAAUACACCCCAAUCCCAUUCAUCUCCAUAUCCCCCCUCCAUCCUUGCUAUCUGCCCCCAAAAGAAAUAAAAAAUAAAUAAAAAUAAAAACAAAUCAAAAACUAAAAAAGAAAAACAAGCAAGCAAACAAAAACCUCAUUUCACUGUGGAGGAGUAGCCAUUUUUAAAAAGCACAAUCUAAUGGAAUUAAGUAUACUCAUCUUUUCAUUCAUCAUCUCUCCUUUCUGAAAUUGCCUACAAGUCUAAAAGUGACAGGAUCACCUUUUUUAUUAGACAGAUUCCAGGAAUUUGACUCCUCUUUGCUCCUGCACAGAGCUGUGUGGAGCUGAAGAGCAGGAGGUUCAUGCUUGGCCUCAAAUGCACCCCACUAAUGGCCAUUAUAAAUCACCCACACAUUUGCUGACUCAGCUAAAAGCCUUGGGCCCAGCAGUGGCAAGGGCUUUCUUCCUGGGGACCUGCCCAGCUAAGGGCCAGAGCUUCAGGGGAGUACAACAUAACACAUGUUAGACGCUCCAAGUCAGAUGGGGGCGCUAGAGGACUGUGACUUCCCUGGUGGUUGUCAUCUACCUGUGUGGCCCCUGCUUCCACCUCAGAAGAAGCAAGUUAUGUAAUGCCUGGCUCCUCACCUGUGAAAUUCAAAU
ensembl:lncRNA